UAGUGAGCGCAACAGUAAUACAUAAGAGAAGAGUAUACAAAGAUAUGCAUGUGUGGCGUGCAGUCUGUGAACACUAUAUAGUGUCUGGUGUGGUGGUGUGCUGGUGUGCGGUGUGGCUGUACAUCCUGACGACCCGAAGAGCCUGUACCAGCAAAGCUAGACUGGACGGGAAAACCGUAAUAAUUACCGGAUCAAAUUCAGGUAUUGGCAAGGCAACAGCGUUAGACUUGGCUAGCAGAGGAGCUCGAGUAAUUAUGGCAUGCAGGAACGUGGAUCGGGCUCUACAAGUCAGGAAACACAUUGCUGACAAAACGAGGAACAACAAUAUAAUAGUGAAGAGUAUAGACCUGAGCGACAUGCUCUCAGUGAGGCAGUUUGCUGAAGAUAUCAACAGGACAGAGCCAAGACUCGAUGUGCUGAUCCACAACGCUGGAGUCCUCAUCCCAGAGAAACUAACAACAGAUCAGGGCCUUAAUACGAUCUUCGCCACCAACCAUUUUGGCCCCUUUUUGUUCACCCAUCUUCUCAUGGGACUGCUGAAAAGAACAGGCAAAAGUAGAAUUAUUUUUGUGUCGUCUUCAGCCCAUUCUAUCGGAAAACUGGAUCUCAGCAAUCCCAAUCCGAAGAAAGAUGCGUCCACAUCGAGGCUCCUCUUCUCCUGGAACAUGUACUGCAGUUCCAAGCUUGCUUGUGUCCUCUGUGCUCGGGAGCUGGCUAGACGCUUGGAAGGAUCAGGUGAAGUUUGUAUCAAGAGUGACAGCCAACUGUCUGCACCCUGGAUACGUCUACACCUCUAUAUUGUGCAACCCGUGCCCCAACACAGUCGCUGAACACGUGUUCACGUUCCUGUUUCCCCUUAUAAUGACAAAACGACAAGGGGCCCAGACUACAAUCCAUCUGGCAGUAUCUGAGGAACUAGAAAGAGUUUCGGGGAAAUAUUUUUCAAACUGCAUGGAGAAAACACCGGGAAAUGUAACUGGAGAUGUGGAAUUGGCUGGGAAAUAUU
rnacentral:misc_RNA from 1 species